UGGGGAUGUUCCCGAGCGGCCAAAGGGGUCAGACUGUAAAUCUGAUGGCUCAGCCUUCACAGGUUCGAAUCCUGUCGUCCCCAU
rnacentral:tRNA from 1 species